rnacentral:rRNA from 1 species
UGUGCAAAGGUAGCAUAAUCAAUUGGCCUCUAAUUAAGGUCUGGAAUGAACGAACUUAUGGGUAGCAACUGUCUUAAAAUAGUUAAUUAAAUUGAUUAAUAAGUGCAAAUACUUAUUCAGUUACAUUAGACGAGAAGACCCUAGAAACUUAUAAUUAUUUUGUUGGGGCGACAGAAUUACAUAAAACUAAUUUUAUUUUACAAGACGUAAAGCAGAAAGAAAAAGUUACUCUAGGGAUAACAGCAUAAUUUUUUAUAGCUUGUGACCUCGAUGUUGGACUAGGUAGAUAGUUUUUUAGAAGAAAACUUUCUUGGCUCUGUUCGAGCAAUUUUAACCUACAUGAUCUGAGUUCAAAUCGA